rnacentral:lncRNA from 1 species
UGAAAAUUACUAUCCCCUGAUUGGAACAGUAUUGUCAUGGGGUUGCAAUCUUCUGAAUGGGUGAAAAUGUUCUAGAUGUCUAAUGGAGGGGGCCUGGGAGCAUGACUGAUGGAUGAUUCCACACUCCACUUGCCCCUGACUCAUUCAGUGACCUCAGGGAAGUAUUAUUCUGGAUCUGGGAUUGGGUAAAAGUAAAAGUGAGUGUAUAACACUUUAUAGACCAAACCUAGAAGAAGGGGCUGUAGACUUUAGGAUGUAAACAGCUUUGAAGUCUGGAGUUAAACAAACUUCACAGUUUAUUAUUAUUAUUCCAAGGAAUUAUCCUACUUUGGAAAUAACACUCUAUGAUGGUCAUUCAUAAAAGGCAAUAGUUCAUUUCAGUGCAUUUGGGAAGAAAUCCUUUACUGCUUAAUCAACAGCACCUUGUCACAUACUGUAUUUUUCUAUUUGUAAGGUGUGGAUUUACUGGAAAGCAGAGGUGAUAGCCUUCGAAGUCAGCAACGUUUAAAGCCAAUUUCAUUCAAUUUUUAGAAUAAGCGUGCAUAGACUUCACUGAAGCUUUGAGUUGGAAAUGAUAGUGACCAGUAUCGGUCUCUAGACCAGAAUUUGAACACACACACCCUUGAGGUAUG